ensembl:lncRNA
CAGACUGGUUUUUCUGGCCGGCAAGAGGCAGAGUCCUGCAAGCAGGACAUCCUUUCACAAACUGGAACGUGAGACUGGAAGUCACCGAAAGACCUUGAGGAAGAGAGAGAUGACGUGAAGGGUUUCGAAGGCUCUAUGGAGGCAGGCUUUCAGGGCUGGCUGGAAGACGUCUGCAUUUGCCCAGUUCAAUGAUGAAAGAUGAUAUGGUAGAUCCAGCUGUCAAACUGCUUGGACGGUCUUAGGCUCAGGGCAGGAAAUGAACGUGAAGGGAGGCACCAUUGCUCUGGAGAGCGGAAGAGAUUGCCGGAGAGGGGAGCUUCGAAUUUGGAAGGAAAAUAAAAGUGUCUGAUGGAGAAAGACUAAGUAGGGUUUGAGUAAGGAAAAAAACAAAUGAACAAACCAACAAAACAGAGCUCAGCGUCCUUAAUGGGAAGAAUAUAGCCUUACUGAAUAAGAUCAGAAACCUGCAAAAGAACAGGAUGAGACAAAAGCACAGAAGCAUUUGGUGACUAAAAAACAACAGGAUGCCAGGCAAAGCUAGUGAGCAGAGACAAGACAGAGCAGGCUGAGAUAAGGACCACUUCCAAGUAAAUUAAAUGUCCAAUAACAACAUCAAGAUCUUCUUGGGACGACUAAAUGGAACCACCAACAUUACAAAGACAAAACAAAACAAAACAAAACCCCCAAAUCAAUAGUAAGGAAAAUGCAGCAGACGCUGUUGUGAAAACAGCUACAGCAUGACACCAGGUUGUCUGCAAACAGAAGCCACCUUUCUUUCGGGUAGCCACACCUCUGAGAAGUAGCCUGACCCCCGUCUGAGGAAAAAUCUCUGUUAAUGAUAAUCUCAUUCUGUUCACCGUGAUUGGCUUAGAGGAGGACACGUGACUUAGUUAAAUGCGAUGAGACCUGCAGGCAGGUCGGCUGGGGGCUCCGUAGAGGAGUUUGCUCAGGAAGAUGACCGCACCCGGAAGACAGCUCUUCUUCUAGAAGAACAUUUUGCUGACUGACCAUCUGAAUUCCCACUGGUUGACUGACAACAUUUCAAAAUGGAGAACAGAUCACCAAGUCUCCUCCUCCUCCUGCUUUAUAGCAGAGAAGACUGAUCCAGAGAGUUUAGGAAGCUUGUGCAAGGUCACACAGCCAACGAUGGAGCCAAGCCUGGAUCACCAGAAGUCUCAUUUCCUCUUUGAGCCUCAAGUCUCAGCAGCCUACUUUGAGCUCUAUGACUC